rnacentral:rRNA from 1 species
GUGCCAGACUCCUGCGGGAGGCAGCAGUCGGGAAUAUUGCGCAAUGGAGGAAACUCUGACGCAGUGACGCCGCGUAUAGGAAGAAGGUUUUCGGAUUGUAAACUAUUGUCCACAGGGAAGAAAAAAGACUGUACCUGUGAAGAAAGCUCCGGCUAACUACGUGCCAGCAGCCGCGGUAAUACGUAGGGAGCAAGCGUUAUCCGGAAUUAUUGGGUGUAAAGGGUGCGUAGACGGGAUAACAAGUUGGUUGUGAAACCCCUCGGCUCAACUGAGGAACUGCAACCAAAACUAUUAUUCUUGAGUACAGGAGAGGAAAGUGGAAUUCCUAGUGUAGCGGUGAAAUGCGUAGAUAUUAGGAGGAACACCAGUGGCGAAGGCGGCUUACUGGACGAUGACCGACGCUGAGGCUCGAAAGCGUGGGGAGCAAACAGGAUUAGAUACCCUAGUAC